rnacentral:rRNA from 1 species
AUACGAAGGGGGCUAGCGUUGUUCGGAAUUACUGGGCGUAAAGCGCGCGUAGGCGGAUUGGUCAGUUAGGGGUGAAAUCCCAGGGCUUAACCCUGGAACUGCCUCUAAUACUGCCAGUCUCGAGUUCGGGAGAGGUGAGUGGAAUUCCUAGUGUAGAGGUGAAAUUCGUAGAUAUUAGGAAGAACACCAGUGGCGAAGGCGGCUCACUGGCCCGAUACUGACGCUGAGGCGCGAAAGCGUGGGGAGCAAACAGGAUUAGAAACCCUAGUAGUCC